AUGGUAUCAAACAAACUCAAUUUCAUGGUUUGCUCAUUUUUGUGUGUGUUAUGGAUAUAUACAUACACACGCAUAUAUAUAGGUACCAAACAAACUCAUUUUCAUGUUUUUUUUUGCUCGUUUUUGUGUGUUAUGGAUAUAUAUAUAAAUAUAUAUACACACACAUAUAUAGGUACCAAACAAACUCAUUUCCACGGUUUGCCCAUUUUUGUACUACGGAUAUACACACACACACACAUUCUGGAACCAAACAAACUCAUUUCCACGGUUUUGUGCAAUAUCCAGCCCUGGGAACACCACGACCUCCCCCCCCCCGGCUCGAGCAGCAGGCACCGAGCGCCCCCUCGCCCCGCCGUGCCCCCGCCGCUCCGCGCCGCUGAGCCGGGAGCCGGCCCCAGAACGCGAGCGGAGCGGAGCGGAGCGGCCGGAGGGUGCGGGCGCCUUCCCGGCAGCGCGGCCGGGGCAGCCCCGCCGGCGGUGCCCUCGUCCGGCCGCGGGGCCGCGCCGGGAGCCCCGGGGGGCGCCGAGGGGGGGACCCCGCGAGGCCGGGCCGGGGCUGAGCGGCCCCAAAAGUUUGGCCGGGGCAGCGCCGCGCAGCGCCCGAGGACCGCGCGGAUCGACAGCGCCGUUACCUCCGCGCCUCGCUCCCUCGGCGGCUGGGUGCGCUGGGUGGCUGCGCUGGGUGCGGUGCGGUGCGGUGCGGUGGGAGCUCCCCGCGGCCGCCCCGCUCCGCGCCCCCGGCGGGAGGCAGCCGCAGCCCGCGCCGCCCCCUCCGGCCGCCCGCCGGGCCACGGGCCCGCCCCGGCACCGGCACCGCCCCGGUACCGCCCCGGCGCCUCCCCGGCACCGCCCCGGCCCGGCCCCGCCACCGCCUCCCUGCCCGCCGUGCAGCCAGGGGGGGCCCGGGGAUGGUGCCGCGCUGGAGGGAGGCGGAGGAGGCCCAGGGCGAGCUUUGGAGGUCAGGAGGAUGCGGAGAGUUGUAACUCGGGAAUCCUCGGUGAUCAGAUUCGAGAGAAAAAAAAAAAAAGUGGAUUUGUGUGUGUGUGUUUGUGGUGGGAACAGAAGGAUGGCUCCGCUGCCCCUUUUUCUGGCUCUCCAGGUGGAUGUUGA
rnacentral:lncRNA from 1 species